AACUAUAAUGAGUUUCUGAGUGAUGGGAUAAAUAACCCUUCAAAAUAUGGUGGCAUGUUGUGGAAGUGGUCCGUAUAGAGGAACUUUCAGCUGCGGAGGCCAGAGAGGUACUAAAAAGUAUGAUUUAUGCCCGAAUGCAAGUGAAUAUGUCUUCUUUGACUCUGUUCAUCCAACAGAAAGGGUCAGUUGCAAUUUGCUACGCUACUCUGGAGUGGAACUGCCAAUUUCAUUGCUCCUUACGGUCUCAAAGCACUAUACGAAUGAAAUUAAUCAAGUGUGUGUGUGUGUGUUCUAAUAUGUAGUUACUAGAUAGAGAUUACCGAUAUAGUAGUUGUAUUGGCUACGUAAACUCUUUGUUACGAUCUAGUGUUGUAUCACUAGGCCUUUCCAUCUUCA